UACGUAGGGGGCUAGCGUUGUCCGGAAUCAUUGGGCGUAAAGCGCGUGUAGGCGGUCGUGCAAGUCGGGGGUGAAAGCCCAGGGCUCAACCCUGGAAGUGCAUUCGAUACUGCAUGGCUAGAGUCCCGGAGAGGAUGGUGGAACUCUCGGUGUAGAGGUGAAAUUCGUAGAUAUCGAGAAGAACACCGGUGGCGAAGGCGGCCAUCUGGACGGUGACUGACGCUGAGACGCGAAAGCGUGGGGAGCAAACAGG
rnacentral:rRNA from 1 species